rnacentral:rRNA from 1 species
GUGGGGAAUAUUGGGCAAUGGGCGAAAGCCUGACCCAGCAACGCCGCGUGAAGGAAGAAGGUCUUCGGAUCGUAAACUUCUAUCCUUGGUGAAGAUAAUGACGGUAGCCGAGAAGGAAGCCCCGGCUAACUACGUGCCAGCAGCCGCGGUAAUACGUAGGGGGCAAGCGUUGUCCGGAAUGAUUGGGCGUAAAGGGCGCGUAGGCGGCCUGGUAAGUCUGGAGUGAAAGUCCUGCUUUUAAGGUGGGAAUUGCUUUGGAUACUGUCGGGCUUGAGUGCAGGAGAGGUAAGCGGAAUUCCCGGUGUAGCGGUGAAAUGCGUAGAGAUCGGGAGGAACACCAGUGGCGAAGGCGGCUUACUGGACUGUAACUGACGCUGAGGCGCGAAAGUGUGGGGAGCAAACAGGAUUAGAUACCCGAGUAGUCC